GGGCUCGUGGUCUAGUGGUGAUGACGCUUCCCUUACAAGGAAGAGGCCGGCGGUUCGAACCCGCCCGAGCCCA
rnacentral:tRNA from 1 species